GAUGAACGCUGGCGGCGUGCCUAAUACAUGCAAGUCGAGCGAACAGAUGAGGAUCUUGCUCUUCUGACGUUAGCGGCGGACGGGUGAGUAACACGUGGAUAACCUACCUAUAAGACUGGGAUAACUUCGGGAACCCGGAGCUAAUACCGGAUAAUAUAUUGAACCGCAUGGUUCAAUAUUUAAAGACGGUUUUGCUUUCACUUAUAGAUGGAUCCGCGCCGCAUUAGCUAGUUGGUAAGGUAACGGCUUACCAAGGCAACGAUGCGUAGCCGACCUGAGAGGGUGAUCGGCGACAAUGGAACUGAGACACGGUCAAGACUCCUACGGGAGGCAGAAGUAGGGAAUCUUAAGAAAUGGGAGAAAGCCUGACGGAGAAACGGCGCGUGAGUGAGGAAGGUCUUCGGAUCGGAAAACUCUGUUAUUAGGGAAGAACAAAUGUGUAAGUAACUAUGCACGUCGUGACGGUACCGAAACAGAAAGCCACGGCUAACUACGUG
rnacentral:rRNA from 1 species